rnacentral:rRNA from 1 species
GAUGAACGCUGGCGGCGUGCCUAAUACAUGCAAGUCGAGCGAACAGACGAGGAGCUUGCUCCUCUGACGUUAGCGGCGGACGGGUGAGUAACAAGUGGAUAACCUCCCUCUACGACUGGGAUAACUUCGGGAAACCGGAGCUAAUACCGGAUAAUAUAUUGAACCGCAUGGUUCAAUAGUGAAAGACGGUUUUGCUGUCGCUUAUAGAUGGAUCCGCGCCGCAUUAGCUAGUUGGUAAGGUAACGGCUUACCAAGGCAACGAUGCGUAGCCGACCUGAGAGGGUGAUCGGCCACACUGGAACUGAGACACGGUCCAGACUCCUACGGGAGGCAGCAGUAGGGAAUCUUCCGCAAUGGGCGAAAGCCUGACGGAGCAACGCCGCGUGAGUGAUGAAGGUCUUCGGAUCGUAAAACUCUGUUAUUAGGGAAGAACAAAUGUGUAAGUAACUAUGCACGUCUUGACGGUACCUAAUCAGAAAGCCACGGCUAACUACGUG